AGAAGGGCUUCCGGAGCGAUUGUUUCGGGGGCCUUUUUCUUUUGC
rnacentral:antisense_RNA from 1 species